rnacentral:rRNA from 1 species
GAUGAACGCUGGCGGCGUGCCUAAUACAUGCAAGUCGAGCGAACGGACGAGAAGCUUGCUUCUCUGAUGUUAGCGGCGGACGGGUGAGUAACACGUGGAUAACCUACCUAUAAGACUGGGAUAACUUCGGGAAACCGGAGCUAAUACCGGAUAAUAUUUUGAACCGCAUGGUUCAAAAGUGAAAGACGGUCUUGCUGUCACUUAUAGAUGGAUCCGCGCUGCAUUAGCUAGUUGGUAAGGUAACGGCUUACCAAGGCAACGAUGCAUAGCCGACCUGAGAGGGUGAUGCGCCACACUGGAACUGAGACACGGUCCAGACUCCUACGGGAGGCAGCAGUAGGGAAUCUUCCGCAAUGGGCGAAAGCCUGACGGAGCAACGCCGCGUGAGUGAUGAAGGUCUUCGGAUCGUAAAACUCUGUUAUUAGGGAAGAACAUAUGUGUAAGUAACUGUGCACAUCUUGACGGUACCUAAUCAGAAAGCCACGGCUAACUACGUG